GAUGCAGCGACGCCGCGUGAGGGAUGACGGCCUUCGGGUUGUAAACCUCUUUCAGUAGGGAAGAAGCGAAAGUGACGGUACCUGCAGAAGAAGCGCCGGCUAACUACGUGCCAGCAGCCGCGGUAAUACGUAGGGCGCAAGCGUUAUCCGGAAUUAUUGGGCGUAAAGAGCUCGUAGGCGGUUUGUCGCGUCUGCUGUGAAAGACCGGGGCUCAACUCCGGUUCUGCAGUGGGUACGGGCAGACUAGAGUGAUGUAGGGGAGACUGGAAUUCCUGGUGUAGCGGUGAAAUGCGCAGAUAUCAGGAGGAACACCGAUGGCGAAGGCAGGUCUCUGGGCAUUAACUGACGCUGAGGAGCGAAAGCAUGGGGAGCGAACAGGAUUAGAUACCCUGGUA
rnacentral:rRNA from 1 species